UGAAUAAAAAUGCCGAAUCCGGUCGUACAGAGCGAACGGUACGGGGGACUUUUUUUAUGGGGUGAAUGCAGGAUCGGCUACGGCUGGCCAGCUAGGGAAAUCCUCUUCCCGAACCCGUCAACUAACCUCGGAGGCAAGCGGAGGGGAAAG
rnacentral:sRNA from 2 species